rnacentral:rRNA from 1 species
UAGUCCACGCCGUAAACGAUGAGAACUAGAUGUUGGAGGGGUUACCCUUCAGUGUCGCAGCUAACGCGUUAAGUUCUCCGCCUGGGGAGUACGUCGGCAACGAUAAAACUCAAAGGAAUUGACGGGGACCCGCACAAGCGGUGGAGCAUGUGGUUUAAUUCGAUGCAACGCGAAGAACCUUACCUGCCCUUGACAUACUCGGAACUUGCCAGAGAUGGCUUGGUGCCUUCGGGAACCGAGAUACAGGUGCUGCAUGGCUGUCGUCAGCUCGUGUCGUGAGAUGUUGGGUUAAGUCCCGCAACGAGCGCAACCCUUGUCCCUAGUUACCAGCACUUCGGGUGGGAACUCUAGGGAGACCGCCGGUGAUAAACCGGNGGAAAGGUGGGGACGACGUCAAGUCAUCAUGGCCCUUAUGGGCAGGGCUACACACGUGCUACAAUGGCGAAUACAGAGGGCCGCAAACCUGCAAAGGCCAGCUAAUCCCUUAAAGCUCGUCGUAGUCCGGAUCGGAGUCUGCAACUCGA